CCCAGCAGGCCUCCAAGCACCCUAGUAAAGGGAGGUUCAGCCCCACUUCUGUCUCUGUUCAUUCAAGGCCACAUCUGAAAGGCUUUCUCUGUCAGAUGUUUCUCCUCUGCCAAAGAGACAGCAGUCUCCUGGAAAAUGACAGGCAGCAACACAUUCAGUUAUUAACCCCGCCCCCACCUCAAGUGCUGCCUCAAGGAGAACCAGCUAGGCCAGGCCAUGCUCUCCCUCCCAACAACCUUACACUCAACAAGUGAAAAGUAUGUCAAUAAAUACUAAUUUUGGCAGAAACACAGGUGUUAUAGCCCCCUCUAGUAAGGAACUGGAACCCCUUUACAUCUAUGUAUUUCCCCAAAAUUAACACUUAGCUGUGGCACACAGGUACUCAUUCAUUCGUUUCAUCCAUCUGUUCAUUCAUUCAUUCUUGAAUAUUUCCCUGGGGUCUACAAGAUGCCAGGCACCAAGAGAGACAAUGCGAACACCACUAGCUCAGUACUCACUCUCAGAACACCUCCGCUGUAGUCAAGGAGACUGCCGUUAACCAAUCAUGCAUUCCAAUUACAAUUUUGGCAUUUAGUAUUAAGAAUUGAAACACCCAACAUAUGCUUCCUGCCACGCAUGUCCCCCACACUCGCGAGCAUAAAGCCUCCUCUCUAGUCACACCAUAAGGAUGACCAUGGUUCUCUCAAAGCUCGGUGUCAAACCUGACCAGCCCAGACUCCCACGCCCCCAGAAAAGAUCAGAUCCGGUCACAGCAGAGUAACAGCAAAUACGCAGGGUCUGCGCGUCACGCGGGCACACUCCACAGGCCUCACAUCCACCGGAUGCUCCCCAGGGUGAUGGCGCUGGAAAGGAGCCUUCCAUCCUCCAGGCAAAAGGAAGGUUCGAUGACACAGGUGGCCCCGCGAGCUCUGGCACCAAGCGAUCUUCUUUCUGUCCAGCCUCCACGCUGUCUUCCCAGGCGCUCUGGCGGCCAAGGGCUUCCCCAGCAUGGACGCUCUGCCCUGAAGACAAGUUUUCUUCUCCCCCUGGGCCCUCACAUUGGAAAGUAUCUCAGGGAAGCUACUAUCCAGGUCUCGCCUGUUCACGGUCCUCACACUCCUUGGUUGUUACUGCCUGCUGGACCUCGUGAAGACAGCCCCUGGUCUUUUCUCUCCCAGACUGUGGCAUCUUGAGAAGAUCGGGAAACUGAGGCACGUAGAGGCUCUACAGCUUCCUCCUGCACGGGUUAGUGAGAAGAACGAAGCACAAGCAUUCCGACGUUAAGUCCAGUGUUCUUGCUCAAUACCAUGAAAAGAGGGGUCAGAGAGACCUGGAGCCAAGCUGAAGAGAUGAAGCCAAUCGCUUAGUGACCUUGUUCCUGGGGAAGUCCAGAGAACCAAGUGGACACUGGCCCUGAGGUGGAGAAGCCGACAUUAGGUCACCUUGGUGAGCUCAGUAAAGCUGGAGUCUUCUCUGAGCCUCUCUGAGCAGGCCUCUAGGCAUCUAGCCCCACCCCGCUUCUCUGCCAUGUAUCUUUAAAAUUUUCUAUUACAUGUAUUUAGCUCUCUCUCUGUCUCUGUCUCUGUCUCUCUCUCACACACACACCAUACAAACCUGUACAUACACAAUGCAUACACACAGAUCAUACAUACCUCUACACACACAUGCCACAUGUACACACCAUCAUAUCUCUCUCACACACACAUACUUGUACAUAUGCAUAAGUAAAUAAAUAAAAUGAAUUACAAAUAAAUGAUAGAACCUAUGUUUAAAUAAAAGCAAAUAUGCUGGUCAUGAUGACACUGUAAUCUUAGCAUACUGAAGGCAGUAGCAGAAGAUUGCAAGUUCAAGGCCAGCCUGGUCUCCACAAUGAAAGCCUGCCUCAAAAGCAAAUGCUUUUAUCCCAGCACUUCUAAAGAGUGGAUUCCAGAUGUGGAAGGUCCACUUGCCUUCCAAAGUAUUACACCAGCUUACAUUCCCACUACAAGGGGUCUAGGGCCCCUCCACCCUUACCAGCAGUGGAUUUCCUACAUGCCUGGUCAUGUGACCAGCAGAGGGGACUCACUAUUCAGCAGCCCUUUGUAAUCACUAGCUGAGCUCGAUCUUAGACUCAUGUUCACAGGUGCAGCUCCUUGGAAGCAGGUUGUUUCUUAUCUUUUAAAAAAUUGUCUAGCAGGGCGGUGGUGGCGCACGCCUUUAAUCCCAGCACUCGGGAGGCAGAGGCAGGCGGAUCUCUGUGAGUUUGAGGCCAGCCUGGGCUACAGAGUGAGUUCCAGGAAAGGCGCAAAGCUACACAGAGAAACCCUGUCUCAAAUAACAACAACAACAACAACAUCCAAACCAAACAAAACAAAACAAAACAAAACAAAACAAAAGCAAAAUAAAAUUGUCUAGAAGGGUUUUGCUGUCGCUUGAGCAGGUCUUUCACACUUCUGGACUCCUGGAGUCUCAGCCUCCUAAGCCCUGGAGUUAGGGGCUGUGCCCACUGAGUGACAUACACAUGGGCUCUUAUGGAUCUCAGUUGCCACCACCAAAACCUUCCACUUGUCUUUAAAUUCACUUAAAGUCUCUUGUGCCUCACAAUUUAUUUUUCAUUGUUUUUACAGCCAAGUGGUCUUCUGAUUAGGCCACUGGUGGAUGGCUGCUGCUUCCAGAGUUGCAAUUGGGAAGCUGAAAAAUACGGGAAGAGAUUGGGAUGAUUGUGAGGGUAAGGGAGAUCUUUAAAAAUUGAUGUUUCUUCAAGGUAAGAUAGGCUGGAGAUGGAACACUCCACCAAGAGAGGAGAUGAUGGAGGAGAGAAGCAGGGGGAGACUGCCCUCAUCAGUUCUAAUAGGUCCAUUGGAAAGUCCCCUGGCUUCCCAGGUGUGUAAAGCAGAUCACCUGAAACACACCUGGAGGACAUCACAGCUCGUCAGGCAAGUGAUACUGAGCAGCAUCAAGAUGAUGGCCUGUGGGUAAGGCAGGGGCUGUGACAGAGAGGUGGAGAGAGGGGACUCAGAAUAGAGCGUGUGUUAGAGCUGUCUGGAACACGUUCCAUGGAUCCACAGAGCCUUUAUUCCAGCUUCUUGUGGGAGUAUUUCUGGCAUUUCAGCUAACAGCUCCCGUGUCCCCUGGGGCUGCAUGAAGGGCUCGUCGGAUAAGAGCACCUGCCACUCUUGCACCUGAGUUUGGUUUCCGGCACCCACGUCAGGCAGCUCUAACCGCCUGUAACUCCUGCUCCAGAGGACCUGACACCCUCUUCUGGUCUCUGUGGAAACCUUCGCUUUUAAAACUUAAAACUAUUUUUUAUCCUCUGACAAUUACUUAUACACACACACACACACACACACAC